rnacentral:rRNA from 1 species
ACUGAAUAGAUACCCGGGUAGUCCACGCCGUAAACGAUGGGCACUAGAUGCUUGGGGGAGCGACCCUCUGAGUGUCGUCGCUAACGCAUUGAGUGCCCCGCCUGGGGAGUACGGCCGCAAGGCUGAAACUCAAAGGAAUUGACGGGGGCCCGCACAAGCGGUGGAGCAUGUGGUUUAAUUCGACGCAACGCGAAGAACCUUACCUAGGCUUGACAUGCAUGGGAAAGCCCUGAGAAACCAGGGCCCCUCUUCGGAGUCCAUGCACAGGUGCUGCAUGGCUGUCGUCAGCUCGUGUCGUGAGAUGUUGGGUUAAGUCCCGCAACGAGCGCAACCCCCGUUUCUAGUUGCCAGCGAGUAAAGUCGGGGACUCUAGAAAGACUGCCGGUGCCAAACCGGAGGAAGGUGGGGAUGACGUCAAGUCAUCAUGGUCCUCACGUCUAGGGCUACACACGUGCUACAAUGGCCGGUACAGCGGGUUGCGAGCUAGCGAUAGCAAGCCAAUCCCUU